rnacentral:sRNA from 1 species
AAUAGAUAAAGACAAAACCAUAACAGAUACAAACAAAGAUUCAGCUAAAGAAAAACUUGAGAAUAAAAAAACAGGUGAAAGCUCCACAAAGAGAUUCAAAGAUGGAGGUGCAGCAGUAACCAUCAGAAAAUAUUUUGAAGGAGAAAAAAACUGCACUAAAGUUGGCAAUCAUUCAAGUUUUAUCCCGUAUAAUGCUUUCAGAGUUGAUCA